GUACCAGUAGCGCAAUGGAUAGCGCUUUGGAUUUCUAAUCCAAACGUCCUAUGUUCGAAUCCUUACUGGGAUA